rnacentral:rRNA from 1 species
AGAGUUUGAUCCUGGCUCAGAACGAACGCUGGCGGCGUGGAUAAGACAUGCAAGUCGAGCGCGACUUUUACUGUAGCAAUACAGUGAAAGUUGAGCGGCGCAAGGGUGCGUAACACGUGGGUAAUUUGCCGUGGAGUUGGGGAUAACUCGCUGAAAGGCGAGCUAAUACCGAAUGUGGAAUGAGAGUGGCAUCACUUUUCUUCUAAAGCUGGGGAUCGUAAGACCUGGCGCUCCAUGAUAAGCCCGCGGCCUAUCAGCUAGUUGGUGCGGUAACGGCGCACCAAGGCUAAGACGGGUAGCUGGUCUGAGAGGACGACCAGCCACACUGGAACUGAGACACGGUCCAGACACCUACGGGUGGCAGCAGUCGAGAAUUUUUCUCAAUGGGCGCAAGCCUGAAGGAGCGACGCCGCGUGUGGGAUGAAGGGUUUCGAUCCGUAAACCACUGUCAUUUGUGAACAAUGGUUAUUAUUUAAAAGAUGAUAACUUGAUAGUAAUGAAAGAGGAAGGGACGGCUAACUCUGUGCCAGCAGCCGCGGUAAUACAGAGGUCCCGAGCGUUGUUCGGAUUCACUGGGCGUAAAGGGUGCGUAGGUGGCAUGUUAAGUUUGAUGUGAAAGCUCAGGGCUCAACCCUGAAAUGGCAUUGAAUACUAGCGUGCUGGAGGUUUGGAGGGGGGACUGGAAUUCUCGGUGUAGCAGUGAAAUGCGUAGAUAUCGAGAGGAACACCAGUGGUGAAGGCGAGUCCCUGGACAACACCUGACACUGAGGCACGAAAGCUAGGGGAGCAAACAGGAUUAGAUACCCUGGUAGUCC